GGACUACAGGGGUAUCUAAUCCUGUUUGAUCCCCACGCUUUCGCGCCUCAGUGUCAGUUGUCGUCCAGAUAGCCGCCUUCGCCACCGGUGUUCCUGCUAAUAUCUACGAAUUUCACCUCUACAUUAGCAAUUCCGCUAUCCCCUCCGACACUCUAGCUUAACAGUUUCAAAGGCAGUUCCACAGUUGAGCUGUGGGAUUUCACCCCUGACUUGUUAAGCCACCUACGCGCGCUUUACGCCCAGUGAUUCCGAACAACGCUAGCACCCUUCGUAUUACCGCGGCUGCUGGCAC
rnacentral:rRNA from 1 species